UAAAAGUGAGUUAGGACUACUAAUCCUUUGGGCCUGUUUAAUUACAGGGACUUUUGG
rnacentral:tRNA from 1 species